AGAGACAAUGUCUCCUAGAUAAAGGUUACUCUCUGAGAAGGAGUGGUCUAGAGCUAGAGACCCUUGAUGCCAGCUCGUGUCUCUGUGCACCUGGCUGGACCGGAGAAUUUUGUCAAGUUGCUGAAAAUGCAUGUUUAAUUUACCCAAAGAGUUGUACUAAUGGAGCAACUUGCGUUGAUUUGAGCCACCUGGGAGAGCAACCUUUGUUUCAGUGUUUGUGUCCUCAUGGUUUCACAGCACAAUGAAGAGUUCAAGAAUCUGCAACUGAAGAAGACCAUCCCAGGAUAACUGAUGGCCUUACAGUCAUCAAAGUAACAGAAAAUUUUGGGGAUCAGGAUCAAGUCCCUGCCCUCAAAUAGUUGUUUUCUUUCAUUCAGUCCAAGGAAUAGUCCUUCAAAAUAUAUGGGUAUGGACUCUUUCAUGUUAAUGCACAAUGGAAGACUUUUAUAAGUCUCAAAACCUUCAAGCAGAUAAAAAGAAAUACAACAUUUCUUCCACAGUUCUAUUCCCUGUACUAAAAAUGAGGUUGUAAAAGAAAUUUGAUAGGAUAAUG